AGGAUGUUUGGAUACGUUUUAGU
rnacentral:miRNA from 1 species